GCAACCAUGACUUUGGUCUCCAUCUUCAUCUGGACGCUCACCCUCUGGACUCAAGGAUCCAGUGGUCAGGUCACAGUGACUCAGACACCUGCAGUGAAAACUGUUUCUCCAGGAGACUCAGUUACCAUCAGCUGUAAGUUGAGCAGCAAUGUUAAUCCCUACUGUGGUGGGUCAAAUGACUGUUUAGCCUGGUAUCAGCAGAAACCUGGAGAAGCCCCUAAACUCCUGAUCUACUAUGCUACCAGUAGACAGUCAGGUAUUCCAGCUCGUUUCAGUGGCAGUGGAUCUGGAUCUGACUUCACUCUGACCAUCAGUAAUGUCCAGACUGACGAUGCAGGAGAUUUUUACUGUCAGAGUUUUCAUUAUAUCAGUAGCACACACCUGUUCCCACAUGCAGAACUUCGCAAGAGUCUAACUGGACCUGAUGGACACAGUGGUCACCAGCAGUUGGUGUGCUGUUAG